rnacentral:SRP_RNA from 1 species
GCUGGGCAUAGUGGCACAAGCUUGUAAUCCCCAUCUGCAGGAAGAGUAAGACUGGUAGAUCUCUUAAGCUUGGAAGUUCUGAGCUGUAGUGAGCUAAGCCAGUAGGGUUCUGCACUGUCUGGCACCAAAAUGAUAAGCUUCUGAAGGGGAGGAAGUACCAGGUUGCCUAAGGAGGGCAGACAGACCCAGGUCAGAAGUGGAGCAGGUCAAAGCUCCCAUGCCAGUCAGUACCUGAUGUUGGGCCUGCGAAUAGCCUUGUAUUUCUAGCCCGGGUGAGAUGGGGAGACUCAGUCUUUU